rnacentral:rRNA from 1 species
AUUGAACGCUGGCGGUAUGCUUAACACAUGCAAGUCGAACGGCAGCACAGUAUGAGCUUGCUCGUCGGUGCGUCAAGUGGCGGACCCUGGAGUUAGACUUGGGAAUCCACGUUGUCGUGGGGGCUAACAUCGGGAAACUUACGCGAAUACCACAUUCGACCCACGCGUGAAAGCCGGCGAUCUUUGAACCUUUCGCGAGUGUAUGAGCCGAUAUCGGAUUAGCUAGAUAGCGGGUCAAAGGCCUACCAAGGCGACGAUCGGUAGAUGGUAUGAGCGGAAGACCAGCCACACUGGAACUGAGACACGUCACAGACUCCUACGGGAGGCAGCAGUGGGGAAUAUUGGACGAUGGGGGCAAGCCUGAUCCAGCCAUACCGCGGGUGUGAAGAAGGACUUCUGGUGGUAAAGCACUUUUGGCGGGAAAGAAGAGAAGCAGUUUAAUACCCGGUGGUAAUGACGGUACCGGAAGAAUAAGCACCGGCUAACUUCGUG